rnacentral:rRNA from 1 species
CCGCGUGAGUGAUGAAGGGUUUCGGCUCGUAAAACUCUGUUAUUAGGGAAGAACAAACGUGUAAGUAACUGUGCACGUCUUGACGGUACCUAAUCAGAAAGCCACGGCUAACUACGUGC